AUUGAACGCUGGCGGCAGGCCUAACACAUGCAAGUCGAGCGGUAACAGGAAAUAGCUUGCUAUUUUGCUGACGAGCGGCGGACGGGUGAGUAACGCGUAGGAAUUUGCCCAGUAGUGGGGGAUAGCCCGGAGAAAUUCGGAUUAAUACCGCAUACGCCCUAAGGGGGAAAGCAGGGGAUCUUCGGACCUUGCGCUAUUGGAUAAGCCUGCGUGAGAUUAGCUAGUUGGUGAGGUAAGGGCGUCACCAAGGCGACGAUCUCUAGCUGGUCUGAGAGGAUGAUCAGCCACACUGGAACUGAGACACGGUCCAGACUCCUACGGGAGGCAGCAGUGGGGAAUAUUGCACAAUGGGCGCAAGCCUGAUCCAGCAAUGCCGCGUGAGCGAUGAAGGCCUCGGUCGUAAGUACUCUGUGGGAGGAGAGAAUAAAGA
rnacentral:rRNA from 1 species